CAAAAGCCAUUCUUCUUCCCCAUUCGUGUCCUGCUCGACUAUAAAUGUCUUCGUUAGUGACAGACUAAGCGAGCUCAGCUUCGGUUCACUUUGUGCGGGUCGUGUGAUCGGAAACCCUAACAAACGUCCCACUUCGGAUUAGCCCGAGCCGCCUUGCAGCAUGUCAGAGUAAAGGCAGAACUCCAGAGUUGGCUGUGAUUUUUAAAGGCCAGCAGAUACCAAACGGUCGGACCAGGAGGCUGAGGGGAAACAGUUGAGUGCGUAGCAGCCUGACGUUCAGCCAGAGUGGAUAGGGAUCUACGGAGGCAGGGACGUGAUGUGGCGUUUAUUCAUCGCCGCCUCCGCUGCUGCCUAUUCUUCAUCACAAAUUCAGUUUAUUCCUUUCAGAUUAAAAGAAAGGCGGCUGAUGUAAGAAAGCCGGAUCACAGACAGAGGAGACGUUCUAGCAUGUGGCAUUUAAUUUUACGCUGGGGCUUUGCAGCAGAUUUAGCAGAUUUAAGCAUGCCGCAGAAUACUUUUAAUUUAAUAGGAGAAAAGGAAAUUAAAGAAAAAUGUUACCAUUGUGGGACACACAAAAGAAAAGCAAGGAAGGUAAAUCCUGCCUCAUGUAGAAGUAUGGACCAGUGCAGCACCUUAUUGUUGGAGCCAGAUGAACUUUGUUCUCAUUGUCCGACAUUGACUAAAACUUUUAUGUUUUAGGCCAGUUACGAUUACCAAAAACGGACUUCUGUUUGAUAAAUGCAAAAAAAAGAGAGAUAUUUUAAAGGAAAUGUGCUACUUUCUUCAAAUUCAAAAAUGUACAUAAAGAGUCUGGAAGAGCACAGGUAAAAAUAAUGUUAACCUGUGGAUGUACAUAUUACCAUGGCAAUAUCACAUCUGGAAAUAGGCUAAAUGUAGUUUUUUGAUAGACCAUGAAUCAAAUAUUUCAAAUCAUAGCUUUGCUCUGUGUUUUCUUGCAUUUGCUGACCUUUUAAAGGUGCUGGUUGCAGCUCUUAACAAGGAUUUGAAAAACCACAAAGUGGAAUGCAAGUCCUUAAAAAAACUUUAGAAACCUCCAAAAACCUUUUUUGAUCUUUGUUUUCAUCAUAAAACAUCUAAUCAGUUUAAAUUAGUUGUAAUCAUCUAUUCCUAGAUCUGUAAACCAAACAGAGGUCCUGGUGUUUGUCUUCAAUCUCUAUGGUCAACUUCAGUCUUUGAUUCUGCUAAUGAUGCUUAAUGAUUCUUGCUUUAUGUAUUGCCAAGUUUUAGAUUUACAUUCUAUGAAAUUAUUGUAUUAUUCUGGAGUUGUGUUGCUCAUAGUGGCACCAUGUUGCAGUAGUUCUGUUAUGAAGUUUCUUUCUGCAGGACUUGAUAAUGUUUUGUUGAGGCUUGGACAAUCGCUCCCUCUGAUUUUGGACACUAUGCAAUUGGGAUACUUUUUCCGCCUACUUUUUUUACUUUCAGACAGGUUUUGUGAUGCGUAACCAUGGCAGCAAGGUAUUUUGUUGACAACUUGGAGCUUCUAAUUAGCCUCUGAGAACCUGAAAUAAUACCUGAACUAAGGAGGUUCAAACCAUUUUUUCCAGCCAUCAUAGCGAAUGUGGGUCAUAUCCCCUACUCCAACAUCUCUCUUUGACCAGACAGAGAUUUAAAGAGCUAAUGAGCUGGAUUAGCAGUCCUGCUUGCCAACAACUGGUGGAGUCGUGCAGGAGACGUUACUGUGGAAUAUCGUUUCUGCUGCCCGGAUACUGAGCAGAGUUUCUUUCUUUCCACGAUUCUUUGAAGAUAUGAGUGAUGACAACAUUCAGUUUCUCUUUGGGACAAAAAAAGUAUUUUUGAACUGAAUUGAACAUCCGAUGGGAACCGCACCUCUAUGAUGGAACACUAUCACACUGAAUGGUUGCUAACUCCAAAGUUGCAUGGUAAUAACAGCAUAACUGGGGUAAGCUAAUUCAAAUUUGGCAAAUUCAGCUAUUAGCUAUAACCUUAUCUGUGACUCAGAUCCAUGAACUGAAGAUGAGUUACUUUUGCUCAAAUUAACGCUGAUUGACGCCAAUUAACAAAUCAACUUUGCCAGUAAUUAUUUGUCGACACCAGAGUUCUUGUAAUCUUGUUUCCCAUUGGUGGAUGGAGUAGGUCAAUGAAACCACCUCAUUGGUUAGUGGAUUCGUACAGUUUGGAGGUUUAUAACCAGCAUUUUCUUUCCUCUCGGUGCUUUUAGACAUACUUUUAAUGUGGUCAAAUUUAGUUACUAUGGCAACAGUGCCCUUCUGAGGCUGGCCCCCAUAUUGGUGUUUGCUGUAUAUCUUCCAAUACCUGCAAUUAUUAGCAACUUGUUACAAAACUGCUCUUUUGAUGCAGAAUUUAUUCAGCGUAGGAAAAAAAAAAAAGAAAGAAAAUCAAAGUAGUGUUCUGUGCUUUAAGGCUUUCAGUAAACACAACCUUUUUUGUGCUUCUGAGAAAAUAUUGCCAUCCUAAAACCAACAUGUUUUAUUUCCUGCUGCCUCGUCUCGCUGGCUCUCUCCCGCUCGCCUCUCUCCGGCUGUCGCCUGCUAUAAUGUAAAUGAGGCUCUCAGCACUGAGCCUAUGAUGGUGUCAGCCCCCUCCUUAGUCUCUGGUCUCAUUAAAAGCCUAGUGUUGCUGACAUUUACCCAGCUGCAGUGUUGACUAGCUCUUCACGCGGGCCAAACGGGUCAAAACAAUACACGGUGUUAGCAUCAACAGUCCAAAUCCUCCAUGAAUGGGAGGCUGCCGGAGCCUGGGAUGUUCACUAAAAACACACACAUGUCAGAAAACAUCUUUUAAAAAGGCCUGCAAUGUUCUCCUGGUUUCAGUUUGAAAGUAUGCAUAUUAGGACGGAUUUAUGGCAAAUAUUUUUACUGAGGUCUGACUUCAGAUAUGGAACCUAUAAGAACUGAAGGCUGGACGGAUGAUGAAUGGACCUUAGCUGGAUGUAAAGAUAGAUGAUGGAUAAAUGGUAGAAUGGACGGAUAUAAAGGUGAGUGAAUGUAAAGAUGAGUGGAUGGAUUGAUGGAUGUACAGAUGGAUGAUUGCAAAGAGGGAUGAAUGAAUGUAAAGAUGGAUGGAUGACGGAUGGUUGUAAAGAUGCAUCCAUCCAUGGUGGAUGGAUGGAUGUAUUGUUGAAAAUGUGUUAAUAAAACGAGGAUUGUGUAUAAAGGCUGGAAAUCCUAAUUGUUCUAUGAUUUUUUUUUUCUUGUUUCCUUCUUUUCCAGAACAAAAAAAAAAAUCAUAUUUAAUAUUUUAUCCAGACUGUGUAGAAAACGUGUAAAAAUGUAAGACAAAACAUCACACAUUGUGAAUUUUGGUGUAAUUUGGCUCUGAUAAAGUGAA